rnacentral:rRNA from 1 species
AGUUUUUUCGGUUGGGGAUGGGCUCGCGGCCUAUCAGUUUGUUGGUGAGGUAAUGGCUCACCAAGACGACGACGGGUAGCCGGCCUGAGAGGGCGACCGGCCACACUGGGACUGAGACACGGCCCAGACUCCUACGGGAGGCAGCAGUGGGGAAUAUUGCACAAUGGGGGAAACCCUGAUGCAGCGACGCAGCGUGCGGGAUGACGGCCUUCGGGUUGUAAACCGCUUUCAGCAGGGAAGAAGCGCAAGUGACGGUACCUGCAGAAGAAGUACCGGCUAACUACGUGCCAGCAGCCGCGGUAAUACGUAGGGUACGAGCGUUGUCCGGAAUUAUUGGGCGUAAAGAGCUCGUAGGUGGUUGGUCACGUCUGCUGUGGAAACGCAACGCUUAACGUUGCGCGUGCAGUGGGUACGGGCUGACUAGAGUGCAGUAGGGGAGUCUGGAAUUCCUGGUGUAGCGGUGAAAUGCGCAGAUAUCAGGAGGAACACCGGUGGCGAAGGCGGGACUCUGGGCUGUAACUGACACUGAGGAGCGAAAGCAUGGGGAGCGAACAGGAUUAGAUACCCUGGUAGUCCAUGCCGUAAACGUUGGGCACUAGGUGUGGGGGGCAUUCCACGUUCUCCGC